UGGGAAUUAGCUGUGUUAAACCUAACUCCAACGGCCCUACCCUUCUUAUUUCUCCCUCUUUCCCCUCUUUUUUCUUUCUCUUUCCUUCUCGUCCUCUCUCUCAGUCUCUCAGUCUCUCCUCUCUCCUCAAUGGAAAAACCAGAUCAAACCACUACUCUCUUUCUCUCCCUGCACCAUUUUUAUUACCUUCACUAACCUCCAUUGUUUCUCAUCAAUGGAAACUUCUCCUUGCUCUUCCACUCCCUCUUCCUUUGACGAAUUUGACGACGAUUCUAUUUUGCUAAUUCAAAGAUGGCGAACCCCAGAAACCAAAGGUAUUGUCACACUGUCCUUGAAAAGGGUUCAGAAGCUGAGUUUUUUGAAGAGUUGGGUCCUAAAGCAAUGGUUGCUUCUGGUGUACAUGUUAAAAACCCCAAGGCAGCUUCCGCGGUGGUCCGUGAUGGUGAACACUACGAAGACAUGUUGGCAAAUUUACAAAACAUGAAGAUACCCUUCAGUGGUGAAGAAUGCUUUGGACAAUACGUAGAUUUAGAUGAGUGCCACAACAGCUUUUUACCAUAAUGAAGCUGAGGUUGGGGAGGCACUUGCUGAAGCAAUUCAAGUUGGGCUUGUGAAAAGGGAGGAUCUAUUCAUAACCACUAAGGUUAAGUGAGGACAAAAUUUCUUAUUUUGGGAGGAACUUUGAUCAUCAGAUGACAUUUACACUCACUUAUCAUGUAUAAUCCUAUUGGAGCUGUGGAGCUCUGACCAUGGACAUGUACAUGAAGUGUGCAAAGACAGUUUGAAGCAACUUCGACUUGAUUAUAUGGAUCUGUACCUAGUUCACUUACCUGUAGCCACAAAGCAUACUGAAGAUCAUGUCGAAAUAAUGCAAAAAUUUGUUCAACUAAUGGGGCUGCUUCUGUGCUGGUGUUCCGCUUCUGUGCUGGCGUGCUGCUCCUUAUAUGCGCUGCUGCUGCUGCUGUUCUGCACUUCUGCUACUAUGUAGCUACAUAUUUUUUUUACCUUGUAUUUUAUUUUAAUUUUUUAGACAAAAAUUGUAAUAUAACAACAUUUUUUUCAUAUGAAAAUAUGUAACUUUAUAUA